rnacentral:rRNA from 1 species
AGAGUUUGAUCAUGGCUCAGGAUGAACGCUAGCUACAGGCUUAACACAUGCAAGUCGAGGGGCAGCAUGUUGGUUGCUUGCAACCAAUGAUGGCGACCGGCGCACGGGUGAGUAACGCGUAUCCAACCUACCCUUGUCCAUCGGAUAACCCGUCGAAAGGCGGCCUAACACGAUAUGCGGUUCUCAGCAGGCAUCUAACGAGAACGAAAUGUGAAGGAGAAGGAUGGGGAUGCGUCUGAUUAGCUUGUUGGCGGGGUAACGGCCCACAAGGCGACGAUCAGGUAGGGGUUCUGAGAGGAACGGUCCCCCANAUUGGAACUGAGACACGGUCCAAACUCCUACGGGAGCA